rnacentral:rRNA from 1 species
AUACGUAGGGGGCGAGCGUUGUCCGGAAUGAUUGGGCGUAAAGGGCGCGUAGGCGGCGCGGUAAGUCUGGAGUGAAAGUCCUGCUUUCAAGGUGGGAAUUGCUUUGGAUACUGCCGCGCUUGAGUGCAGGAGAGGUAAGUGGAAUUCCCAGUGUAGCGGUGAAAUGCGUAGAGAUUGGGAGGAACACCAGUGGCGAAGGCGACUUACUGGACUGUAACUGACGCUGAGGCGCGAAAGUGUGGGGAGCAAACAGGAUUAGAUACCCUGGUAGUCCACACUGUAAACGAUGAAUGCUAGGUGUAGGGGGUAUCGACCCCUUCUGUGCCGCAGUCAACACAAUAAGCAUUCCGCCUGGGGAGUACGGCCGCAAGGUUGAAACUCAAAGGAAUUGACGGGG